rnacentral:rRNA from 1 species
GUGCCAGCAGCCGCGGUAAUACGGGGGGAGCAAGCGUUGUUCGGAUUUACUGGGCGUAAAGGGCGCGUAGGCGGCCAGCACAAGUCAGUUGUGAAAUCUCCGAGCUUAACUCGGAACGGUCAACUGAUACUGUGCGGCUAGAGUGCGGAAGGGGCAACUGGAAUUCUUGGUGUAGCGGUGAAAUGCGUAGAUAUCAAGAGGAACACCUGCGGCGAAGGCGGGUUGCUGGGCCGACACUGACGCUGAGGCGCGAAAGCCAGGGGAGCGAACAGGAUUAGAAACCCCCGUAGUCC